GAUGAAGAACGCAGCGAAAUGCGAUAAGUAAUGUGAAUUGCAGAAUUCAGUGAAUCAUCGAAUCUUUGAACGCACAUUGCGCCCGCCAGUAUUCUGGCGGGCAUGCCUGUUCGAGCGUCAUUACAACCCUCAGGCCCCCGGGCCUGGCGUUGGGGAUCGGCGAGGCGCCCCCCGCGGGCACGCGCCGUCCCCCAAAUACAGUGGCGGUCCCGCCGCAGCUUCCAUUGCGUAGUAGCUAACACCUCGCAACUGGAGAGCGGCGCGGCCAUGCCGUAAAACACCCAACUUCUGAAUGUUGACCUCGAAUCAGGUAGGAAUACCCGCUGAACUUAAGCAUAUCAAUAAGCGGAGGA
rnacentral:misc_RNA from 1 species